UGCCAGGCAACUCCUAUCCCUACCUUCUCACGGUACUGGCCGGGGUACGAGUAACCUUAGAGAAGAUCGGGUAGCCAACCCCGGUGGGAACUUUGUUCGUAUGAUGACAGGAAAGG
rnacentral:ribozyme from 1 species